UACGAAGGGGGCUAGCGUUGUUCGGAAUUACUGGGCGUAAAGCGCGCGUAGGCGGCUUUGUAAGUUAGAGGUGAAAGCCCGGGGCUCAACUCCGGAACUGCCUUUAAGACUGCAUCGCUUGAAUCCAGGAGAGGUGAGUGGAAUUCCGAGUGUAGAGGUGAAAUUCGUAGAUAUUCGGAAGAACACCAGUGGCGAAGGCGGCUCUCUGGACCGAGACUGACGCUGAGGCGCGAAAGCGUGGGGAGCAAACAGG
rnacentral:rRNA from 1 species